CGUACACUCCUGCGGGAGGCAGCAGUGGGGAAUAUUGCACAAUGGGCGCAAGCCUGAUGCAGCCAUGCCGCGUGUAUGAAGAAGGCCUUCGGGUUGUAAAGUACUUUCAGCGGGGAGGAAGGCAAUACGGUUAAUAACCGUGUUGAUUGACGUUACCCGCAGAAGAAGCACCGGCUAACUCCGUGCCAGCAGCCGCGGUAAUACGGAGGGUGCAAGCGUUAAUCGGAAUUACUGGGCGUAAAGCGCACGCAGGCGGUCUGUCAAGUCGGAUGUGGAAUCCCCGGGCUCAACCUGGGAACUGCAUUCGAAACUGGCAGGCUUGAGUCUUGUAGAGGGGGGUAGAAUUCCAGGUGUAGCGGUGAAAUGCGUAGAGAUCUGGAGGAAUACCGGUGGCGAAGGCGGCCCCCUGGACAAAGACUGACGCUCAGGUGCGAAAGCGUGGGGAGCAAACAGGAUUAGAAACCCCAGUAGUCCCAUGA
rnacentral:rRNA from 1 species